CCCUACAGCACAAGAUUGCGAGUGAUUCUAGAGUUGCAGAACAAGAAGCAGGCAGCACCAGUAACGUCCAAUCUGAUGGAGGGAGCGCAGCUGAAGCUGAUGCUGGCAGCACCAGUAACGUACAAUCUGAUGGAAACAUAAUAGUUGGUACGUCAACAUCACCAUCAUCCUUAAAUGACAUUGAAGAUCAAGAUAAAUAUUUCAGUCAUCCAGUGCCACAAAGACCUUGUUUUUCUUUAUUCCUGAGGCUGACUGGAAUCAUUUAAGAAGUAAACAACACAAAUGUUGUUUCAAAACACUGGACUGGACCAAUGUCAUUGCGCAAGGCAUUCGCAGUGUACACCCGUUUUGCAGUUUUGCAUUCAAACGGCAUACUGUGAAAGCAGCUGGGUCUGUAAGAACUGGCCCUCUGUUUUCUUGUGCUGGGUAUUGUCGUUUUGAAGAAUGUCCCGUUGAAGUCUUUGUGAAAGUUAAUAACGAGCUGUCUCUUAAGGCUACUGUGACUUUCAAAGGAGACAAAGUGUGGCACAGUUGCAAUGUCUUAAAAAGACGGCCUGUACGUGCCAAUGACAGAUCUACAACAGCAGAUGUCCUAACCACGAAACUACCACGUAGCCUGUACUUAGAUAAUUUAGGGAAGCUGGCUGAGAGUGUGGUAGAUUCAGGUUGUAGGGACCAAGUUCCAACUCCAGGCACACUGAAAACUUUGUCCUGGGACAACAAAAGAAAAAAAGGAGUCAUACUAAUGAUUAUUAAGCUUGCAAAAAAAUGCAUGAAGAAGAGCAGGGAUCCCAGGAUGCCAUAAUACAAAAAAUACAAAUGCAUCCAAAAGGAGUAAUGCUGUGGUCCAAGAAGAUGCUGAGCCUCUUUUAUCAGCGGUGUAGGGAUGAUAUUGUUUACUUGGAUGCUACUGCGAGCAUUAUUCAAAAAGGAAAGGGUCGCAGUGCACCAUUCUACGUGUAUGAGCUAGUGGUGCGACAUCCUUCAAAGGGAUCGUCCCCUGUGCCAGUAGCGACAUAUGUCACAAAUGACCACACAACUGCGUCUGUGUCAUUUUUCUUGGCCUCAUUUGUGACAGACCUAAUAAGACAACAUGGACUGAGAAUUCAAACAAGGCCUGUCAUGUUUAUUUGCGAUGGCUCCAUAGUUUUACUGCAGUCACUGUCCUACAAUUUCUGUGGAGUCAGUCUUCAGGAGUUGUUGAACAGAUACUACAAUAUCGUGACAGGCCAGGCCCCGGAGGAUUCAAUUCGACUCCCAAUACUGCAUCGCUGCCUGAGCCAUGUAAUGAAAAAUGCCAAGGACCUUUGCAAAAAACAUGCCCCAAAACAUUACCACCUAGCAAUGCAUACCUUCGGUGCUAUGGCUCAGGCCACAACAAUUGAAGAGCUUGAAGAAAUCAUUGUCAGUGCUGCUGUUGUGUUCUCAAGGUCCCACAGUGGCCAAAAAGUUGACAAACAUUUCAAAAACCUUCAGUUGAUAAUGACACAAGGAGGAAGAACUGACAUUGAGGACUCAUCCAUUGUGGAGCUGGAUUUUAUGGUCUGUAUAAAAUGCUACCAUAAUUCUUUACACAUUGCAUAUAUGACUUAA
rnacentral:lncRNA from 1 species